UGGGGAAUAUUGCACAAUGGGGGGAACCCUGAUGCAGCGACGCCGCGUGAGCGAUGAAGGUUUUCGAAUCGUAAAGCUCUGUCCUUGGAGAAGAUAAUGACGGUAUCCAAGGAGGAAGCACCGGCUAAAUACGUGCCAGCAGCCGCGGUAAUACGUAUGGUGCGAGCGUUGUCCGGAAUUAUUGGGCGUAAAGGGUACGUAGGCGGUUUAUCAAGUCAGAUGUUAAAGCGUGGGGCUCAACCCCAUAAAGCAUUUGAAACUGAUAAACUUGAGUAGUGGAGAGGAAAGUGGAAUUCCUAGUGUAGCGGUGAAAUGCGUAGAUAUUAGGAGGAAUACCAGUUGCGAAGGCGACUUUCUGGACACAAACUGACGCUGAGGUACGAAAGCGUGGGGAGCAAACAGG
rnacentral:rRNA from 1 species